rnacentral:lncRNA from 1 species
GAUUCUUGCAUCUUUUCAUAUCUAAAAAAACACUAAAAUCCUUCAAUGAUGACUGAUGUCCAUGACUAGUAGUAACCUUCACGAAACCACCAGCAAAUUUCAGUAAAAUGUAUGCAUGGCUGCACGCACCUCCCCCUUCACCUUUAUCACUUAUAUCUUUUUUUUUUUUUUUUUUUCUAUUUAGGGCCUCACCCUCAGCAUAUGGAAGUUCCCAGGCUAGAGGUCGAAUGGGGGCUGUAGGAUUCCAGCCUACACCACAGCCACAGACACAGCAGCACAGGAUCUGAGCUACAUCUGCAACCUCACCACAGCUCACUGCAGCACCAGAUCUUUAACCCACUGAGCGAGGCCAGAGAUGGAAUUCGAAUCCUUUUGGAUUCUAGUUGGGUUUGUUAACCGCUGAGCCACGAAGGGAACUCCCAUGACUUAUAUCUUGAUAUUCCCCCUUUCCUCUUACACCUGAAAUAGCUCGGAAAUACUGCCUCCUGGGCUGUACUUAAGUGGACAAAACCAAAGAUGUCAUGGUUGUCUGUGUGAAGAGCCACUCCCAAGGGUGGGCCCGUGAGCCCUGAGAGAACUCAGGCAAGAAACAAGACUGGCCCACAGCUGAGGUGCAUUAUCAAAGGAGUGAUUCCAGUAAGCCCAGAACUUUACAUCUUCUCAUAGAAACUGGUUUGCUAUAAAUCUUUUUCUGUGAAUCUGGUUAUCUGUAAAUCUUUUGUUCCUACUACCUUCCAUUUGUUGCAAAACCUCAUAUAUCCUAGCUUCCUUCCUCUCCUCCUGGGAAGGGUUUGAGAUGCUGAGAUGCUGUCUCCCGGGCUUAAGUCUUAAUAUCACCCCAAAUAAAUUUUAGCUCUCAACUUUCAAAACAAACAAACGAGCAAACAAACAAAAAGCCCUACAAUUGUUUUACAACCAGGCAAAAAUUCAGUGUUUUUCUCUCCCCUGUGACCUUUUAGCUGUCACACAGAUAUCAGGUUCACUUGUAGCAUGGUUAAAUUUCUGUGCAAUGAAUUCUAUCGUCUCAUGGACUUUCAGUAUAAAGUGAGAGAUGUUCAUCUGGAGGAAAGUUUGGCUUAAAGAUGAGUAAAGUCUAUAUUAGUGAGUAUGACAAGGUUUUCAAAUACACAUAUUGAAAGUAUUCAUCAUUUUAUAAGGAACCAUAAUAUUAAAAUAAUAUACAAAUGCAAAAUACCACUUGGGUCAAAUCGGAGUUUUAGCUGCUGGCCUAGGCCACAGCCACAGCAAAGCCAUAUCUGAGCCUUGUCCAUGGCCUACACCACAGCUCACUGCAAAACCGCAUCCUUAAUCCACUGGAUUGGAUUCCUUACCAAUGAGCCACAAAAGGGAACUCCAGGAAUUGUCCUCUUUGAGUUUUCCAUCCUUUAGUUCUAAAUAAGACUGGCUUCUUUCUUCCUGGGAGCUUUUUCAUAUCUUUCCUUUAUCCCAGGAGCUCUAUAACUUCAUGAUGAUGUGUAUUGGUGUAGGUGUUUCUUUCUUUCCUUUCUUUCUUUCUUUCUUUCUUUCUUUCUUUCUUUCUUUCAUCUUUUUAGGGCUGCACCUGUGGCAUAUGGAGGUUCCCAGGCUAGGGGUCGAAUCAGAGCUGUUGUUGCCCAGCCUAUGCCAGAGCCACAGCAACUCGGGAUUGAGCUGCGUCUGCGACCUACACCACAGCUCACAGCAACGCCAGAGCCUUAACCCACUGAGUGAGGCCAGGGAUCGAACCUGCAACCUCAUAGUUCCUAGUUGGAUUCGUUUCCGCUGCUCCAUUACAGGAACUCCCUAGGUGUUCUUUAUUUCUUGGAAGGGUACUCAGUAGGCUUGUUUGUCUAAAAGCUUUGAUCCUUCAGCUCUGGGACAUUUUCUCAUAUUAUUUCUGUAAUAUAUUUUUUUUAUAUUUUCUCUUUCCCCAAAAUACCUGUUAAUUGUAUGUUGAAUCCUCCAGACUGAUUUCUAAUACCCUUAAUUUUGUUCUUAUAUUUUCCAUCUCUGCCCUUUGUUCUACUUUCAGGGAGAUUUCCUCAACAUUCUCUCUUAUCCCCCCCAUCCCUGCAGCAUUGGGAAGUUCACCUCGAACCCACACCACAGAAGUGACAACACUGGAUCCUUAACCUACUAGGCUACCAGGGAACUCCCUCUAAAUCAUUUCUACCUGAUAUUGCAAUAUGGGUUUAUUUCUAGGAGACUUACUAUCUCUCUCUCUGUCUGUCUGUCUCUCUCUCUCUCUCUCUAUGUCUUUUUUAGGAUUGCACCUGCAGCAUUUGGAGGUUCCCAGGCUAGGGGUCCAAUCAGAGCUGUAGACACUGGCCUAUGCCAGAGCUUCAGCAACUCGGGAUCCGAGCCAUGUCUGCGACCUACACCACAGCUCACAGCAACGCCAGAUCCUUGACCCAAUGAGGGAGGCCAGGGAUUGAACCCAAGUCCUCAUGGAUGCUAGUCCAGUUCGCUAACUGCUGAGCCACAAUGGGCAUUCCAGAAACUUACUCUUCUAAUUUUGUUUGACUUUGGCUAAUGUUAAAACUGGUUUGUACUCCCUUAGCAUAUAAAGAAAUGACUCAAACUGGGAAACCUCAACUUAUAAUUUUAAACUUUUGCAGAUAUUUCACAGAAUUUGGUAUUCACAUAGCAAUAAUCGAGAGUUUAUUUGAUGAUAUGUAUGCUUCCUUCUUCACCACUCACUGACAAUCUGCGGAGAAAAGAUCCCAAAUUAAAGACAGAACGGGGUUGGAAGAAAACCUGGAAAAUGUAUGGUAGUUCAGUCAUUUUAUAGGUUUUUAAUUUUUGUCUUUUUUUUAAGGGCUGCGCCUGCAGUAUCCUGAAAUUUCCAGGGUAGGGGUCAAAUCAGAGCUGUAGGUGCCGGCCUAUGCCACAGCCACAGCAACGCCAGAUCCGAGCUGCAUCUGGCGUACACAACAGCUCACGGCAAUGUCAAAUCCUUAACCCAUUGAGCAAGGCCAGGGAUUGAACUUGCAAUCUCAUGGAUACUAGUCGCCAUUACCACUGAGCCACAAUGGGAACUCCUUAUUUUACAGUAUUCUUGGCACCAAUCAAAAUCUUUUCUCAAAACAAACAAACAAACAAAACAAAAAGUUUCAACGGAAUAAUUAAGUUUACUUACUUGUUAUCCUGAGGUUUUGCAUCUCAGCAGGAGUCAUAAUAUUAAAUAUCUGUGUGUGGCAUUUGGGUCAUCAGUAGGGAGUAUAAUAGGGGGUGUUUUAGGGAGCAGAACACUUUGGGUACAUGAAUUAAACAGGAUUAUGAUAGACACUUUUGGGAAAAGAUUUGAACUUUAAUCAGGGGAAAUGAGUUGGAGAUUUAUCUACACAAGUCACUAAUCAUAGGACCUUGGGUAUAUCUCUUGUUUUAGCUAUCUUGCAAUUGUUUAGUUAUCCAUUGCUAGUAAAUCACCUCAAAAAUGAGUAGUUUAAGGAGUUCCCACUAUGGUGCAAUGGGAACGAAUCUGACUAGUAUCCAUGAGGAUGCAGAUUCAAUGCCUGGCCUCGCUUAGUGGGUUAAGGAUCUAGCGUUUUAGCGAGCUGUGGUGUAGGCAGCUGCAGUUCUGAUUCCACCCCUAGCCUGGGAACUUCCAUAUGCUGCAGGUGUGGCCAUAAGAAGCAAACGAAGCAAGACAAAACUGAGUAGUUUAAGGCAAUGCUUUAUUUACUCAAGAUUCUGAAAUUUGGGCAGGGGAUGGUAGAAUGGUUUGUCUCUGCCCUACAUGGUGUUGGCUCGGGGAGCCGGAGGAUUCAAGAUGGUGUCACUCACGUGGCUGGGGCCUCCAUCGGGGUGGCUGGGACAGCUGCGGCAUGUCUGGGAUCUCUCUCUUCAUAGUCUCUCAUCUUCUAGGGCCUCUCUCGCUAUACGGUCACUCUCUCCAGCAGUGUAGUCAGACUUCUUUAUAUAAGAAUUAGUCUUCAAGAGAGCAAAACCAGAAAAUACCAGGUCUCUUGAGGGCUGGGCCUUUAUACCUCUGUACUGAUCACUCACUUGAUGUGGGAGAUCUCCAGGAGGUAUAACCUUGGGCAAGGCAAAUUUCUUCAGUUGAGGCAAUCUCCUACAAGUACUGAAGCUGAAGAUCUUCUUCCAGCAGCGCUCCCAGCACUAAGGAAUAAGUCUGGGUGGCGCGUCACAGUGUCACUCCAACUCCAAACAGACCUGUGGUUUCAGUAGGACUCUGCACUCUUGUAACGACCUGACACAGAGGAAGUUGGGGAAAAAAUACUCCAACCUCACUCUCCUCCAGACUUCCCAUGUCCUGCCAGUGCCCCUCCCCCAUGGACCAAAUGCAGGGGAGUCACAGGACUUGAUGCAGUGUUCAUGUGCUUUGGGGGUCACAGAGCAGAAUGGAGAAGGGUGAAGAGUGGAUCUAGAGGGGCAACAGAAGAUAUUCAGCAGCAGAAGCUGAGUUGAGGUUUUGAACUUUAAAGACAUGUUGAAUUAAAUGAUAUCCCAGUGUAUGCUUUUUAUUGGUGUAUUAAAGGAGUCUUCUG